AUUGAACGCUGGCGGCAUGCUUUACACAUGCAAGUCGAACGGUAACAGGUUAAGCUGACGAGUGGCGAACGGGUGAGUAAUACAUCGGAACGUGCCCAAUCGUGGGGGAUAACGUAGCGAAAGUUACGCUAAUACCGCAUACGAUCUACGGAUGAAAGCGGGGGAUCGCAAGACCUAGCGCGAAUGGAGCGGCCGAUGUCAGAUUAGGUAGUUGGCGGGGUAAAGGCUCACCAAGCCAACGAUCUGUAGCUGGUCUGAGAGGACGACCAGCCACACUGGGACUGAGACACGGCCCAGACUCCUACGGGAGGCAGCAGUGGGGAAUUUUGGACAAUGGGCGCAAGCCUGAUCCAGCCAUUCCGCGUGCAGGAUGAAGGCCUUCGGGUUGUAAACUGCUUUUGUACGGAACGAAACGGUUCUCUCUAAUACAGGGGGCUAAUGACGGUACCGUAAGAAUAAGCACCGGCUAACUACGUGCCAGCAGCCGCCGUAAAAC
rnacentral:rRNA from 1 species